rnacentral:rRNA from 1 species
UACGGAGGGUGCAAGCGUUAUCCGGAUUCACUGGGUUUAAAGGGUGCGUAGGUGGCGCCGUAAGUCGGGUGUGAAAUUUCGGAGCUUAACUCCGAAACUGCAUUCGAUACUGCGGUGCUUGAGGACUGGAGAGGAGACUGGAAUUCAUGGUGUAGCAGUGAAAUGCGUAGAGAUCGUAAGGAAGACCAGUGGCGAAGGCGGGUCUCUGGACAGUUCCUGACGCUGAGGCACGAAGGUCAGGGGAGCAAACGGG